UACGUAGGUGGCGAGCGUUGUCCGGAUUUAUUGGGCGUAAAGCGCGCGCAGGCGGUGCGGUAAGUCUGUCGUGAAAUCUCCCGGCUCAACUGGGAGGGUGCGGUGGAGACUGCCGGACUGGAGGCACUCAGAGGCCGGUGGAAUUCCCGGUGUAGCGGUGGAAUGCGCAGAUAUCAGGAGGAACACCGAUGGCGAAGGCAGAUCUCUGGGCCGUAACUGACGCUGAGGAGCGAAAGCAUGGGGAGCGAACAGG
rnacentral:rRNA from 1 species